rnacentral:rRNA from 1 species
GCAGCCGCGGUAAUACGUAGGUGGCAAGCGUUGUCCGGAAUUAUUGGGCGUAAAGGGCUCGCAGGCGGUUUCUUAAGUCUGAUGUGAAAGCCCCCGGCUCAACCGGGGAGGGUCAUUGGAAACUGGGAAACUUGAGUGCAGAAGAGGAGAGUGGAAUUCCACGUGUAGCGGUGAAAUGCGUAGAGAUGUGGAGGAACACCAGUGGCGAAGGCGACUCUCUGGUCUGUAACUGGCGCUGAGGAGCGAUAGCGUGGGGAGCGAACAGGAUUAGAUACCCCCGUAGUCCCUGUCUCUUAUACACA